rnacentral:rRNA from 1 species
GCCUACGGGAGGCAGCAGUGGGGAAUUUUCCGCAAUGGGCGAAAGCCUGACGGAGCAAUACCGCGUGAGGGACGAAAGCUUUUGGGUUGUAAACCUCUUUUCUCAGGGAAGAACAACUGACGGUACCCUGACGGACUCAGGACUUUA